rnacentral:lncRNA from 1 species
GCAGAGGAAGAAGUUUCAGAUGAAGAGGAAAUAGAUAUGGAGGAGGCAGAACACAAAACUUAUACUGCCAGAUAUGUGGCAAAAAUGGUCACACAGCUACUAUAUGUUUUUACAGAUUUGAUAGAAACUACAUGGGCGGUAUACCAACUAGCAAACACCAGCAGCAGCAUCCACACUCAGUCUAUCUUGCUUCAGCUGAUAACAUUGCAGACUCUGCCUGGUAUGUUGAUAGUGGAGCAAGCAGCCAUGUCACAAAUGACCCUGAAAACCUUAAACAGAAACAGGCAUAUGCUGGUAAGGAGUUUUUAAUAGUUGGAAAUGGUGAUAGACUUAAUAUUCAGCAUGUUGGAACAGCAGAAUUGUCGCUUGAAACUGGAAAUUGUUUGCUGUUAAAUGAAACAUUGCAUGUGUCGGAUAUAGAGAAGAAUUUGAUUAGUAUCUCUAAUCUCAUUGCAUGAAAUAAUAUAGAUGUAAUGUUUGACUCUUAUAGCUGUGUUAUUAAUGAAAAAGUAUCGGGGAAAGCUCUGAUGCGGGGAAACAUAAGGAAGGCCUGUAUCGGAUUGAACAAACCCACUUACCCAAGGCAAACACUUAUCAAAACCCUUUUCAAGCACUUGAAAGUAGCUCAUCUACCAGAAAUAAAAAUGUUGAAACCUUGAAACUGUGGCAUAGAUGAUUAGGCCACCCCUCUCACAAAAUUCUGAUGAAAGCUAUAAGCUCUUGUAAUCAGACUAUUACUAGUACUGAGAAUUCUCCCUUUUUUGAUGCGUGUCAACUUGGAAAAUCCCACUUAUUACCAUUCACUGCAUCGUCUUCACAUGCAUCAAAACCUCUUGAUUUAAUUCAUGCUGACAUUUGGGGACCUGCCCCAGUACUCUCAUUAUCAAAUUUUAAAUAUUAUGUUCUCUUCCUAGAUGAUUUCAGUCACUUCACUUGGCUAUUCCCACUCAAACAAAAAUCAGACAUUAUACAAACAUUUAUUCAACUCAAAGCCAUGGUCGAAAAUCAGUUUGAAAGGAAAAUAAAAUGCUUUCAAACUAAUAUGGGAGGAGAGUUCUUAAGCCUCACAAAUGACCUACUACAACAAGGCAUUAAAACGCAAUAUUCUUCCCCACAUACAUCUCCUCAAAAUGGUAGAGCCGAGAGGAAACACAGACAUGUUGUAGAAACCGGCUUUGACCUUGUUAGGUCAGUCUAAAGUCCCACUAAAAUUCUGGCUAGAAGCGUUUCAAACAGUUGUGUUCCUUAUAAACCGUUUGCCAACACCAGUUAUAGACAACCAAAAUCCUCUAGAAAAGCUCUACUCCAAGAAACCAAAUUACCACUUCUUAAAAGUGUUUGGUUGCGCUUGUUACCAUGUCUUAGGCCUUAUCAAACCCAGAAAUUCUAAUUUUAUUCAGCAAGAUGUGUCUUCCUUGGAUACAGUAAUUCACACAAAGGUUUUAAGUGUCUUAGUUCAACAGGAAGAAUUUACAUCUUGUGUGAUAUUCAAUGAGGAAGACUUUCUUUUUCAUGGAAACUUUCUAAACACAAAAGCACCUGAAGACCAAACUCUUGUGAUCAGAAAUUGGCUUGCAACUCCCUCACAAACUCAAAACAUAACCCUACCAAAUGACACCUCCUCAGCUGAUACAGGCAGUCAGUGUGUUCCCACUGCUGCAGAUCAAUCUGAUCUGCCUCAUAACAAUGGGGUCCGAAACAUUAUUCCUCGAAGACCAAACUGUGAGAUUAUCCUUAGAAGAAGGACUUGACUCUCAAGCUCAUAAUCUGGGUGAACCACUUGAUUUUGAUAUAGAGCCUAUCAACUGCAACAGGCAGUUGCAGGAGCUUUCAGUAGAGAUACCUCUGAAUGCUGAGAAUCAAAGCAUGGAAGAGGAACCAGCUGCAGGACACAAGAUGAUCAUAAGAGCCAAGGCAGGUAUUUUCAAACCUAAGCAGUAUCCUUUAGGCUUCCAACUGCUUACUGUCAAAUGCUCAUUGCCAACUGAACCGAGCACAAUUGAAGAAGCAGUAAAGUCCAAGCACUAGAAAGCAACUAUGGAAGAAGAAAUUGAAGCACUAAAAAGAAAUAACACCUGGUCAUUGGUUGCCUAUCAGUCCUCAGUGAAUGUAGUAGGAAAUAAAUGGGUGUUCAAGGUAAAGAAGAACAUGGAUGACAGCUUCCAAAGGUGUAAGGCUAGACUGGUUGCAAAGGGGUUUCAUCAAAAUACAGGCAGUGAUUAUGGAGAAACGUUCAGUCCAGUUCUUAAGGCAUCAACCAUCAGGGUCAUUCUCACCAUAGCAGUAACAGAAAACUAGAGUAUAAGUAACUAGACAUAAAUAAUGCCUUUUUGAAUGGGAACUUGCAGGAAUCAAUUUACAUGGUGCAACCACCUGGUUUUGAACUAAGGGACAUGAGCAACUGCGUAUGCAAGUUGAACAAGGCAUUGUAUGGCUUGAAGCAAGCACCAAGAGCCUGGUUCGAAAAAUUUAGGGACACCUUGUUAAAAUGGGGUUUUGUGAAUUCUAAGUGUGAUACAUCCCUAUUUAUUAUGAACACCAAUGAGCAGAUCCUAUUUGUGCUAAUAUAUGUGGAUGACUUGAUAGUCACGGGCAACAAUUCAAUGUCACUUAAGAAAUUUGUUCAAGAACUAGACAAACUGUUUGCAUUAAAGGAUAUGGGAGAACUGCAUCUCUUCCUCGGAAUUGAAGUUACAAGAGAUGAAACAAGAAUUUACCUAACUCAAACCAAGUAUAUAGAAGAGCUACUUAGAAAAGCAAACGUGGAAAAUUCAAAAGGCUACCUACACCUGGAACUCUUAAUGCUCUCACUGCCAAUGAAGGGGAACCACUCAAAAAUCCAAUAGAGUGCAGGAAAAUCAUAGGAGGUCUGCAGUAUGCAACACACACUAAACUUGACAUUGCCUACAUUACAAACAAAUUAAGUCAAUUUUUGCAACAGCCAACAACAAAGCACAUGCAAGCUGUGAAGAGAGUUCUAAGGUAUCUGAAAGGAACCAAGGAUUUUGUUCUACAUGUUCAACCUUGCAACAGUUACACUCUGACAGGCUACUCAGAUGCUGAUUGGGCAUGCAACAGGGAUGAUAGAAGAUCAACAGCUGGUCAUUGUGUUUAUUUUGGCUCAACACUAGUCUCAUGGAGCUCAAAAAAGCAACAUGUUAUUGCUAGAUCAAGUGCAGAAUCAGAGUAUAGGUCACUAGCUCAAGUUGUCUGUGAAAUAACCUGGUUAGAAUCCUUACUCAAGGAACUGCUCAUCUCGGUGACAGAAGUACCUGUCACAUGGUGUGAUAAUCUCAGUGCUGGUCAGCUUGCCAGCAACCCUGUGUUCCAUGCUAGGACAAAACACAUUGAUGUAGAUAUUCACUUUGUUAGAGACAAAGUGCUUGAGAAGAAGGUUGAGGUAAGUUAUGUACCAUCUCAAGAUGAAAUUGUUGAUUACCUAACAAAAGCUUUAACGGGUUUUCAAUUCUACAAUUCAAGGACCAAACUUGGAGUGAUCGAAAGGCCUCUCUCACUACCAAGUUUGAAGGGGAAUGUUAAAGC